UACGUAGGGUGCAAGCGUUAUUCGGAAUGACUGGGCGUAAAGGGUGCGCAGGCGGUUUGUUAAGAUGGAUGUGAAAGCCCCAAGCUCAACUUGGGAAUAGCAUUCAUGACUGGCAAGCUAGAAUAUGGUAGAGGGAGGUGGAAUUCCAUGUGUAGCAGUGAAAUGCGUAGAGAUGCGGAGGAACACCGAUGGCGAAGGCAGCCCCCUGGGCGAACACUGACGCUCAGGCACGAAAGCGUGGGGAGCAAACAGG
rnacentral:rRNA from 1 species